rnacentral:rRNA from 1 species
AUUGAACGCUGGCGGCAUGCCUUACACAUGCAAGUCGAACGGCAGCGGACCUUCGGGUGCCGGCGAGUGGCGAACGGGUGAGUAAUAUAUCGGAACGUACCUUUCAGUGGGGGAUAACGUAGCGAAAGUUACGCUAAUACCGCAUAUUCUGUGAGCAGGAAAGCAGGGGAUCGCAAGACCUUGCGCUGAUUGAGCGGCCGAUAUCAGAUUAGCUAGUUGGUGAGGUAAAGGCUCACCAAGGCGACGAUCUGUAGCGGGUCUGAGAGGAUGAUCCGCCACACUGGAACUGAGACACGGUCCAGACUCCUACGGGAGGCAGCAGUGGGGAAUUUUGGACAAUGGGCGCAAGCCUGAUCCAGCCAUGCCGCGUGAGUGAAGAAGGCCUUCGGUUGUAAAG